rnacentral:lncRNA from 1 species
UAAGCUCAAAAUUGUUUGGUUUCUACAUACGCAAUUUGAAACACAAAAACAAAACAAAUAAAAACCUAUUGUUAAUUCUACUCCUAAAAUGAAAAAAAUAAAAAUAAUCCCAAAAUUAAUACAAUCCUCAAAAGAUAAAAAUUAAGAGUUCAAUCAUCGUUGUUUUCCUCAAAAUCCAUCUCCUAUCCUUCCUCUUCUCCUUUCUCAUCCUCGCUUACUUCCUGUUCAUCACUCUUCUGCUCAUUUUCUUCCUUCUUGGAAUGUGUUGGGCCAAACAUAUCCGGUGGAUAGUUUGGUACUA